rnacentral:tRNA from 1 species
GCCCCAGUGGCCUAAGAGAUAAGGCACCGGUGUUCUAAGUCAGGGAUUGUGGGUUUGAGUCCCACCUGGGGUG